rnacentral:lncRNA from 1 species
UUAUAUAUAUUAUAUAUAUAUAAUUGUUAUAUAUAUUUAUUUUUAUAUAUAUAUAUAUUAUAUAAUUGUUAUAUAUAUAUAACAAUUAUAUAUUUAGUCAAGUGCCAUUUCCUGAUAUUGAUUUACUUUUUCUACUUCCUAUAUUCCAAGCAAGAAAAUAGCAUUUUGAUGUACUGGUGAAUAAGACACUGCGUGACAAUUCAAGAGAUCCAGGAGGGAUCUUAUGUAAGCCCAACCACUGCUUAAUUCUGAAUUUCCUUUUUUUUUUUUUCCUGAGAGUACCUGAUCUUAAUCAAGAUUUGAAGAUUGAUUAACAACCUAUGCUAGAAGCUAUGCUGACUUGCAGCAACAGAAUCAAACAUUGAACUUCAUUACAAGGAAGUAGCACUAUCUUUUUGAAGUGUGUGAUUUGGAGAUUCUCCUCAGCUGCUGACUCUGAUCUUCUCCCCAGCUUCUAGUCGUCUGGCAUCAGGGUGUAGAGAGCUACAGGAGUGUAGCUCCACCUAAAGUCCCUUUCCCUUCUUUCCCUUCUUUCCCUUCUUUCCCUUCUUUCCCUCUUUUAUAGGGUACCCCUUUCUGAGUUUAUUUUUCUUACUCUUGAAUAAUUUACUUUCUAACACUUGUCUGUGUACUACUCCUAAACACUUAAAAGUUGCAGCUUUUGCUCCUUAUUGUUCACAUUAAGACAAUUUAAUUAGCUGACCUUUCUACUUUCCUCUAAGAAAACAACAUUAAGUGUUCUAAUUAUUUAGUCACCUUCUUCUGAGCAAGUUGCCAGUAGAAAACUCUCUUCCUGACUUCAAUGAGUGGGGUGUUGAAACCGCACUUUGGGCAGAACUUAGGCUUUAUGAAAUUGGGGGCUUUGUGUUAAGAAUUAUGGGAAUACAAUGCAAACUAUAUUAUUGGACAAACACCUGUGAUGUGAAAGGACAUAAAAUGGGCACAUCUAAUGCUGAUCAUGAUUAAGGUGGGUUGCUGCUCUCUAAGGUACUCAGUUAUUUACAACACUGCUUUGAGCUGUUCACAAUAUCAUUG